rnacentral:misc_RNA from 1 species
GUAAAAAGUAUAAGUAAAGAUUCCUUGAUUAAUUUAGGGUUAUUUUUAGUUUAGGUUGAGGUGUAUUUUUAUAUGUCUGGAUUGAUGAUUAGAAAUAAUUUUAGUUUAUUUAAUUAACGAGUCUUGGUAAUUUUUGAAAACCGGUGUUGAGAUAUAAUUUUGAUUGGUUUUAGUUAAUAGAUUAUAGAUUUAUUGAUAUAAGACUUUUUGGGG